ensembl:lncRNA
CAAAAAGGAGAGGACCUCUACAGACGGUCCAAAGAGAGAAGGAUGACAUCAAGAGAAAGGUUGCCUGAAUUAAAUGUUUGUUCUUUUGCUAGAUUUGAUAUAAAUCUCUACCUACUAUUAUCUCCCCUGCAGAUGGAUGCUUUGGUGCAGCAGGCUGCUAAACCAGAUGCGUCAAGACAGGACAGAGACCUUGGAGAGAAAGGAGAGGUUUUAAAAGUUCUCUAUAAAAAUAAGGAUGGAUGGUGGCUGGCUAAAAACUCAAAAGGCCAGAAGGGCCUGGUACCCAAAACCUUCCUGAAGAUGGCUUCUCUGCAUGAUAGUGAGAGAGAGAGAGAGAAUGAGGAUGUGGGGGAGAAUGAAGAAGAGGAGUCUGACAUAAAGUCCAUGUGA